rnacentral:rRNA from 1 species
UAAGGAAUAUUGGUCAAUGCUCGAAAGAGUGAGCCAGCCAUGCCGCGUGAAGGAAGAAGGCCCUAUGGGUCGUAAACUUCUUUUGAACGAGAGAAAACCCUUCUACGUGUAGAAGGCUGAUAGUAUCGUUAGAAUAAGGAUCGGCUAACUCCGUGCCAGCAGCCGCGGUAAUACGGAGGAUCCAAGCGUUAUCCGGAUUCAUUGGGUUUAAAGGGUGCGUAGGCGGCCUUAUAAGUCAGUGGUGAAAUCCCGCAGCUCAACUGCGGAACUGCCAUUGAUACUGUAGGGCUUGAAUGGCGAUGAUGUUGGCGGAAUGUGCCAUGUAGCGGUGAAAUGCUUAGAUAUGGCACAGAACACCGAUUGUGAAGACAGCUGACAAAACGUUCAUUGACGCUGAGGCACGAAAGUGUGGGGAUCAAACA